GAUGAACGCUGGCGGCGUGCCUAAUACAUGCAAGUCGAGCGAACAGACGAGGAGCUUGCUCCUCUGACGUUAGCGGCGGACGGGUGAGUAACACGUGGAUAACCUACCUAUAAGACUGGGAUAACUUCGGGAAACCGGAGCUAAUACCGGAUAAUAUAUUGAACCGCAUGGUUCAAUAGUGAAAGACGGUUUUGCUGUCACUUAUAGAUGGAUCCGCGCCGCAUUAGCUGUUGGUAAGGUAACGGCUUACCAAGGCAACGAUGCGUAGCCGACCUGAGAGGGUGAUCGGCCACACUGGAACUGAGACACGGUCCAGACUCCUACGGGAGGCAGCAGUAGGGAAUCUUCCGCAAUGGGCGAAAGCUUGACGGAGCAACGCCGCGUGAGUGAUGAAGGUCUUCGGAUCGUAAAACUCUGUUAUUAGGGAAGAACAAAUGUGUAAGUAACUAUGCACGUCUUGACGGUACCUAAUCAGAAAGCCACGGCUAACUACGUG
rnacentral:rRNA from 1 species